GAGUCUGUUCCUUCUGAUGUUCGGAUGUGUUCGGAGUUUCUUCCUUCUGGUGGGUUCGUGGUCUCGCUGGCUCGGGAGUGAAGCUGCAGACGUUUGCGAGAAAUCUAAAUACAUGACCACAGUUUGAGCUCCUGUCUGAAGAGAUUUUUUAAAGGCUGUUUUCUCAUUAAAGCUGGGAUUUUCAUCAUGCUGAGUUCAGAGGAACUCGUGAGUUAUGACAAAAAGAUAUUAUGACUCCCAUGCAGCGGAUGAAGACAUUGAUGCCCAUGAAAGGUAAUUCAGUUCCAACCCCUUCAGUGACAGCAGAGAGACCCAGGCCACCUUCCUUGAGGAUUUCGGAGCUGCAGCCCACAGCCAGGGCCAGAGUGGACUCAGCUCUCCAACCCACGCCCAUGAAUCUCUGCGACUAAAGAUUUCCCCAGACGCUCCCAGGUUCCUCCUGAUCUGCAGCAUUGUCGUCCCUGCCACUGACCAGGAAGCCCUCUGUGCUCCCAUAGCCCCUUCAGAAACCUGUGACUUCCUGAGUCCUAAGUCUUCAGCAGAAACAGCAGCUGCCCCACGCCUUGAGCGGCAGCAGGACCCUUUCUGCCCUGAUCUCCACUCAGCGCUGGAAGCCUGGUGAGUCUGGUGGUAAAAGGGAUGGCAGCGGAUUCCAAGGUGACCUGGGAGACUUCGGUCAUUCCCAAGCCCCACCAUCACUUGUGCUUAAUUGCGGGAGACCAAAGGUGUGACAUCCUUUCAGCUUCAGCUUUGUCAGUAUGGAGGGACUAGACUCUCCAUGUGGACCCAUGUCAAGUCACUCGUGAUCAUCAACCUGCAUAUUGUUUUUUUUUCUUACUGUAUCACUUAGAGUAGCAUCAGGAAAUGAAGGGUUCAUUUGAAAUUGGGUUGCUCAAGAAGAGUUAAUUUUCAAAAC
rnacentral:lncRNA from 1 species